rnacentral:misc_RNA from 1 species
GAUGAAGAACGCAGCGAAAUGCGAUAAGUAGUGUGAAUUGCAGAAUUCAGUGAAUCAUCGAAUCUUUGAACGCACAUUGCGCCCUUUGGUAUUCCUUAGGGCAUGCCUGUUCGAGCGUCAUUUAAACCUUCAAGCCCUGCUUGGUGUUGGGUGCCUGUCCCGCCCCCGCGCGUGGACUCACCUCAAAUCCAUUGGCGGCCCCCGCAAGGCCACGAGCGCAGCAGAAACGCAAACUCGUGUGCCCGGCGGGCGGUUCCCAGAAGCUACACCCACCAUUUUGACCUCGGAUCAGGUAGGGAUACUCGCUGAACUUAAGCAUAUCAAUAAGCGGAGGA